rnacentral:tRNA from 1 species
GCCCUCGUAGCUCAGUUAGGAUAGAGCACAGGAUUCCUAAUCCUGGUGUCGCGCGUUCGAGUCGCGCCGAGGGCACCA